GACGAACGCUGGCGGCGUGCUUAACACAUGCAAGUCGAACGGAAAGGCCCUGCUUGCAGGGUACUCGAGUGGCGAACGGGUGAGUAACACGUGGGUGAUCUGCCCUGCACUUCGGGAUAAGCCUGGGAAACUGGGUCUAAUACCGGAUAGGAGCCAUUUUUAGUGUGAUGGUUGGAAAGUUUUUUCGGUGUAGGAUGAGCUCGCGGCCUAUCAGCUUGUUGGUGGGGGAAUGGCCUACCAAGGCGGCGACGGGUAGCCGGCCUGAGAGGGUGGACGGCCACGUUGGGACUGAGAUACGGCCCAGACUCCUACGGGAGGCAGCAGUGGGGAAUAUUGCACAAUGGGCGCAAGCCUGAUGCAGCGACGCCGCGUGGGGGAUGACGGCCUUCGGGUUGUAAACUCCUUUCGCUAGGGACGAAGCUUUUUGUGACGGUACCUAGAUAAGAAGCACCGGCUAACUACGUG
rnacentral:rRNA from 1 species